GGGAAACCAGGCCCCACCUCUUGAAGGGAGGAGCAUCCAAGAAUUUGCAGACGUAUUUUAAAACCACCCCAGUGGGCAGCAGCAUUCCCAUCCCAGGCCGAGAGUCUUUGAUGAACUUGCCCCACGUCACACAGCAGGGCAGUGUCAGGAGCAAGAUUAGAACCCAGGUCUCCGGAGCCUGAAAGCUGCCUCAGAUGCCCUGCUGCUGAGAGAGGUGGUCGCCGCAUGGCCAGUAGGCGCACUACUGGGUCUACAGGCCUCACUGCGACCUUGGGAGGACGGCCAUGUCUGAGUGCGCUCAAGAAGUCAGCUGCCACCGCAUGGCCAGCCCUGGUGUGCUCCCCCUGGGCCCGGUGGCUGCUCUGACAGCCAGAGCAGUGCGUGUGCCCUGUUUUUUAGGUCAAUCAGCCCCAUUAUUUGUAUUUGCGGCACACACACCCUCUCUCUCCCUAGCUAUCUGGGUACCACACAUGAGUCUCCGGGUGCCAGGCCACUCCACAAAGCCACCUGUCACAGAGUCAGCUCGCUGGGCCUGGCUCCUUCCUUCCUCAAAUUCACCCUCCCCAGCCUCAGCUCAGACGAGGCUGAGUAAGUAAAUCAGGAUGAAGCCCAUCCAGGAAAGUGAGUUCAGCUGCCAGUGUUGGAGCCACUGCUUCUGUCUUGCCACCACAUGAGACCUGAGACCAAAGCCAACACAAGGAGGGCCAGGCUGAGGGACAGAGAGAAGCCAAGUUUUGAUUGUAUCAUUUGAAAUCCUGAAGCCUGGGGUAUCUAAAGCCAGACCUACUCAUGGAUCAGGCCUGGCUACAUCAUUUGUGGGGCCCAUUGUUCCAAAAGCAGGGGCAAAGUGCCAUUAAAUGUACUCAAAUAUGAAACUUUUUUUCUCUCUUCC
rnacentral:lncRNA from 1 species